rnacentral:rRNA from 1 species
UACGAAGGGGGCUAGCGUUGUUCGGAAUCACUGGGCGUAAAGCGCACGCAGGCGGUUCGCCAAGUCAGGUGUGAAAUCCCCGGGCUUAACCUGGGAAUUGCGCUUGAAACUAGCGGGCUUGAGUGUGGCAGAGGGGGGUGGAAUUCCACGUGUAGCAGUGAAAUGCGUAGAGAUGUGGAGGAACACCGAUGGCGAAGGCAGCCCCCUGGGUCAACACUGACGCUCAUGCACGAAAGCGUGGGGAGCAAACAGG